CCAGUGAUGGUACAGUGGUUAGAGUGUUGGAUUAGGACCUGAGAGAUGUGGGUUCAAUUCCCCUCUUAACAGGAAGCUCACUGGG